rnacentral:rRNA from 1 species
UUGACCUCGGAUCAGGUAGGAAUACCCGCUGAACUUAAGCAUAUCAAUAAGCGGAGGAAAAGAAACCAACAGGGAUUGCCUCAGUAACGGCGAGUGAAGCGGCAACAGCUCAAAUUUGAAAUCUGGCCGCAAGGUCCGAGUUGUAAUUUGUAGAGGAUGCUUUUGGCAAGGUGCCUUCCGAGUUCCCUGGAACGGGACGCCAUAGAGGGUGAGAGCCCCGUACGGUAGGACCACCGAGCCUCUGUAAAGCUCCUUCGACGAGUCGAGUAGUUUGGGAAUGCUGCUCUAAAUGGGAGGUGUACGUCUUCUAAAGCUAAAUACCGGCCAGAGACCGAUAGCGCACAAGUAGAGUGAUCGAAAGAUGAAAAGCACUUUGAAAAGAGGGUUAAAAAGUACGUGAAAUUGUUGAAAGGGAAGCAUUUAUGACCAGACUUGGGCUUGGUUGAACAUCCGGCGUUCUCGCCGGUGCACUCUGCCAGUCCAGGCCAGCAUCAGUUUGCUCCGGGGGAUAAAGGCGGCGGGAAUGUGGCUCUCUCCGGGG